rnacentral:tRNA from 1 species
UGCGGCUGGAUCACCUCCUUUCAAGGAUGUUUCCUGAUACGUUGGGAAGCUUCUAAAUAAAGACCUGCAUUGGAUCAGUGCAGGCACGGAUGGCCUCAGGGCGCCGUCAACAUAUCCCUUCCUGUAAUGUUUUGGGCUAGUAGCUCAGUUGGUUAGAGCACACGCUUGAUAAGCGUGGGGUCGGAGGUUCAAGUCCUCCCUGGCCCACCACGACUGUGGUGGUUUCUAAGCCUUGAGAUGGCGAAGUUCAUUGAUGAAUGUCGAUGAUGCCUUGCCAGUCUUGACUGGGGGCGUAGCUCAGCUGGGAGAGCACCUGCUUUGCAAGCAGGGGGUCGUCGGUUCGAUCCCGUCCGCCUCCACCAGAAACCACACCGAUACACGCUGCUUGGCGCAAGCUUUGAGCGGCAGAUCGGUGAGAUAACAUUACAGGUUAAGGGAAAAAUGUUUCCUCCCUGCCGCACUUUGGUGCGGGAGCGAUGAAAAAGUCUGUUCUUUGUCAGUGUGAAUAGGUUGGUGCACUUUCUGGGUGCUGCCACGAUCCGGGUUGGUCUGACCCAUGUGGAUCGGUUUUGGGUUCUUGGACUUUGGUCUGAGAGGCUCUGAUCCGGUCUCGUGUUUAAGGAUUGUGGCGUAUAGCGGUCAGAAGGUGUUUUAUAAGUAUGAUGAACUUUGCGUGCGAUGCAUUGCAUUUUCUCUGCGCAGAAAACUGUGAAGCGCGCGAGCGUGGAUGGUUGCUGUGCAUGUGUAGUGUGUGAGCAUGAGAAGGGCAUUCGGUGGAUGCCUUGGCAUC